rnacentral:rRNA from 1 species
AGAGUUUGAUCAUGGCUCAGGAUUAACGCUGGCGGCGUGCCUGACACAUGCAAGUCGAACGGGUGCUAGCUGCCCGCAAGNNGGCUAGCGCUAGUGGCGGACGGGUGAGUAACACGUGGGCAACCUGCCUGAGAGUGCAGAAUAACCCUGCGAAAGCGAAAUACUGCAUGUGGUUGUCGGAUGGCAUCAUCUGACAACUAAAGUCGCAAGAGCUCUCAGAUGGGCCCGCGGCCUAUUAGCUAGUUGGUGAGGUAACGGCCCACCAAGGCUUUGAUGGGUAGCUGGCUGAGAGGACGGACAGCCACACUGGGACUGAGACACGCCCAGACUCCUACGGGAGGCAGCAGUGAGGAAUUUUCCGCAAUGGGCGAAAGCCUGACGGAGCACGCCGCGUGAGGGAUGAAGUCUCUAGGGAUGUAAACCUCUGUUGGGUGGGACGAAGAUCUGACGGUACCACCUGAGGAAGCCCCGGCUAACUACGUGCCAGCAGCCGCGGUAAUACGUAGGGGGCGAGCGUUAUCCGGAUUUACUGGGCGUAAAGAGCGCGUAGGCGGUUCCGUAAGUUGGUUGUGAAAGUUCGAGGCUCAACCUCGAACUGCGUCCAAUACUCGGGGCUUGAGUGCAAGAGAGGCAAGUGGAAUUUGCAGUGUAGUAGUGAAAUGCGUAGAUAUUGCAAGGAACACCAGUGGCGAAGGCGCUUGCUAGCUUGUAACUGACGCUGAGGCGCGAAAGCUAGGGGAGCGAACGGGAUUAGAUACCCUAGUAGUCC